rnacentral:lncRNA from 1 species
UUGGCAUGGGUGCUAGCUUAGGUCCCUUCUACUACUACUCCACUUAGUAAAUUGUCUAUAUUCUAUUACUUUGUACCUAUGUGUGUGAGCUGUGUUAUAUUCAUCUUCCUCAAGUACUACAACACUGGUAGUUGUACACAUAUGAUGGUGAUUCGCUCCGGCCAUUCCAGUUUUGGCGGUGGUGGUGCUGCUGCUCCUAUGAUGGUAGACUCAUCUGAUUCCCCUAGCCGCAUCCAUGGUGAUGAAGCUCGGCCUAGGCUAGAACCCCCUCCAGUGAGCUCCUCAAGUCCUCUUAUACCCCUCCUACUUGCUUCUUGGUUCUAUGCCCUGCCUUUGUGAGGUGUAAUUGUUCAAUUUUGUUCAUAGUCGAGCAUUGGAUGAUAUUGUAUUUGUCAUGAUGUACAUGGUUCAUGAACUAUGCCAACCUGCAGCUUUGUUGAACUAGUGAUAGUAGGAUAAUGCAAGUUUUGACAAUCCAUGCAUAUUUUCGCAUCAUAAUAAUCUUCUUCUUCUAGUCUUCUUCUUCUAACUUUCUUCUUCCCAUUUUACAGAUUUGCUUAAGAUCACGGAAGCUUGGGUUGAUGGAGUGCUUGUAUUUAGUUUUUGUUUUGACCUUGUGAAACUUGCUAUCUAUGGAUGAAACUGUGUAAUAUUGAUGAAACUAUGUAUAUGUAUGGAUGAAACUUGCUACUAUUGGUAACAUGUGUUGGAUAUAUAUGUGUUCAU